rfam:Gossypium raimondii chromosome 10, whole genome shotgun sequence.
AGUCCAUGGUUUGGGCACUUCCUGAGCAUUGACUUAAAAUAAUCUCAUGCUUCGUAUAGGGAUUCACCUUCAUAUUGUUUGAAUUUGGAGAUUUCUUACCUAAGCU